rnacentral:lncRNA from 1 species
AUGCUGGUCAUCGCCCAGGCACACGGGCAGGAGGGCGCUGCCCCCGAGCUGCAGCAGCCGGCGGUGCAGCUUCUUGGCCACGAAGUUGAACCUACAGAGAAGACAGAGCUGGUGCUGGCCCCGGCCCCGCACAGGCGGGAGGCACACGCCCAGUGGGCUGCACAGGGUGGGGGCUCCCAAGGCCCCGCAGGCUCCUUUGCUGGCUCCCUGAAAGACAGAAGGGUCUCUCACCUGCCCCGUGGGUGUGCCCGGCAGUGGGAACAGACGUCUACGUUUUGCAGUAAACAAAGCCCCCAGACCCUUCCCAGGCGAGGGUCACAGGCCACCCACUUUCCAUCCUUUUCACCCGGACAGCUCCGGGCCCCGGGCUGCAUUUGGCUCUGGAGGCGUCUGUACCCAGCGACCCCUCCCUCAGCUCCGAGCUGGAGAGUUGAUAUUUGUGCGGCCGCCGCAGGGUCGGACAGGCUCUGGCAACACGCGGACAGCGGACCUCCACGACUGUCCCCAUGCGGAGUCCCUCCUUUCCCUCGUGGGGGCCGCCGCCGCCGCCGCCGCUGCAGCUGCUACUGCUGCUGUUGCCGUGGCCAGUCUGGACCCAGGCGCCCGCCGCAGCCGCCUCCUGGGGAACCCCGGGCGCCCUAGGCUGCCCCGAGGCUUGCGUGUGCGCGCCGGGGGGCCAGGCCAACUGC